rnacentral:rRNA from 1 species
UACGUAGGCAGCAAGCGUUGUUCGGAGUUACUGGGCGUAAAGGGUGUGUAGGCGGCCCUAUAAGUAUGGUGUGAAAUCUCCCGGCUCAACUGGGAGGGUGCGCUAUAGACUGUGGGGCUAGAGUGUGGGAGAGGAAAGUGGAAUUCCUGGUGUAGCGGUGAAAUGCGUAGAUAUCAGGAGGAACACCGGUGGUGUAAACGGCUUUCUGGACCAUAACUGACGCUGAGACACGAAAGCGUGGGUAGCAAACAGG